rnacentral:rRNA from 1 species
UACGUAGGGUCCGAGCGUUGUCCGGAAUUAUUGGGCGUAAAGAGCUCGUAGGCGGUUUGUCGCGUCUGCUGUGAAAUCCCGAGGCUCAACCUCGGGUCUGCAGUGGGUACGGGCAGACUGGAGUGCGGUAGGGGAGACUGGAAUUCCUGGUGUAGCGGUGAAAUGCGCAGAUAUCAGGAGGAACACCGAUGGCGAAGGCAGGGCUCUGGGCAUUAACUGACGCUGAGGAGCGAAAGCAUGGGGAGCGAACAGG